rnacentral:misc_RNA from 1 species
UUUCUCAGAAGAAUAUAUGCAACAACUCCAUACAAGCAUUUGCCAUAUAGAAGGCCUCUGUGCAUCAACAACUCCAUUUGUGAUUAAUUGUGCAUGGCAAGUAGCAUCAGCUCCAUUCAUAGAAUUAAAAGGAAUAGGCAAAGCAUGUUGAGGCAAAGCAUGUUGAAGCGAAGCAUGACUAAUCAUAUCAAUCUUUGUCAUUUGAUUAUUCAGCUAUAAAUCUGAUUCCUACACACAAAUCUACAUGUAUGGCUCUAAAGUUCAGAGCAAUGAGCAAGCAAGUCUCUUUCAGUCCACAAAUUGACAUAUUCAGCACGACACAACAUGACUUGUAUUUACAUUGACAACCAGCAUCUUGGACUUCCAACGGUAAACAAAGCUUAGCAUGAAGUAGAAGCCCUAGGCUGCUUGCAACCAUGCUCUGGUAUUAGAUUUUCGGAGGCAGCUCUCUUUGGUCUUAACUGUAAAAAGAAUGCCAGUGAGAGUCUAGAAGUAGUGUGAAACAUUAAAUAUGUAACAUCAGCGUUUAAUUAUUAACCUUCUCUUCAGCUCGCUCAUAGAAGUUUCUCAGAAGAAUAUUUUUGGCUUCAGUAGUUAUCACUGCCAAGAUGAUUUUCAGACAAAUGAGUAACAAAUGAGGAAAUUGUCUUGAGAUUACUGAAUACCAAGAACUGUAUUACAAAAACAAAAUUAGAAAAGUGCAACCAACCAACUUGCUUAAGUUUUUGAAAUCUAGACACCACCUCUGUAGCACAAGCUUUUCAGAAUGUCCUUACAGUAUCCACAAUGACAAAAGUUAAUAAAGGUCUUUACAAUGUCCGGGUUGCAACCCACAUUGAUAAGCAACUCAUGGAGGCAAAAGGCAUGCAGAUUACAGGGAGCCAAACUGGUUCUGUCCGGUAAUGAAUGUAUGUGAAAUUGUGAAUCCCAUAUUGAUCUCAAAACACAUCUCCCUAGCAUUAAAUUAAAUGAAUGCAUCAGCUUCAUUUAUGCGGUUAUAUGCAUCCAAGGUUGCAGCUUCAUACAUAUAAUGGAGCUUGCAAACUGGUUACAACUCCAGAGGCUAGUGUCAAGCAUCACAAUGCUCGAGCUUGGCUGUUUGAUCCAAGCUGAGCUUGAGUUCAACUCGAGCAUAUCAUUGAACUCAAAAGAUUAAUCAAGGUUGGUUUCUUAAUGUUUCAAUUGAGCUCAAGUCACUUCACAUGAUUAACCAACUAAGAAAGAUAAUUUCUUUCAAUAUAAUUUUUAUCUUAUCAUAACAUUUAUAACAAAAUAAUUCAUUUUAAUAGCCAUUUUAUAUGUUCAUAAUUUAUUUAUUACUGAAUUAGAUGUUUAUUUUCUAAUAGUUUUUACGAAACCUUUUUCCUUUUAAAGUAACUUUUAUGAUAUCUUAAAUAGAGUAAUACUUGUAGUAAAAUUAUUAUAAAAUAAUCAUGCUAAAAAAAAAUUUCUGAGUUGAUCAUGAGCUUUUGAGCCAAGCUUAAAAUGUAGAAAAUUUUUAUUACAAAAUAAUAGUGCUUUAUUGUUUCGUUAAAGAAUGAGCCUGAAUGAGCAUCAAGUCAAACUCAAACCAAGCUCAAGUAACUUGGAUAAAGUUUUACAGCACUUGGUUUCUUUUGCACUCAAACUGUUACUAGAGUUGAACUUUCUUUUGAACAAUUCUAUUCUUAAUACGUGAAAAGAAGAAGCAUUCUGGAUGACAAGAACAUGCUUUAAUGCUACUUUAGCUUUACAAUGCUUUCACACAAAAGAGACUGUCAUAUCUGCAUAAAGUUGUAUAAUAUGACUUGACAGAAAGAAGUUAAUAGAUAGAUCAUAGAUGAAGUUGAAAAUCGUUUGCAUUUAACAUAUAGAACCUAUUCUCACACAAAUACACACUCAUGAAAUAUCACCACACAAAAAAAUCUAGCCAAAGUAUUCAAAUGCCAUCACAUGCCAAACAAGUCUUCCUUAUCUUUAUGGGAAAAAAAGUUUCCUGAAGAUGAAAAUUGGAAAGUUCUGUUUCUUACCUUGAUCAGGUGGUGGAAGAGUACGGUUGUGAGUAGGAUGAUAAGUAGCAGGAGUCAUUUUCUACAGAAAAGCACAAAAAAUUAAUAUAAUUCUAAAUAAGGAUGAAGAUGCCUUCCAUUCUCAGAAUAAGAACCAUAGUGCAAACUGCCAUAGCAUACCAGCCUCACCCUGGAACUUGUAAGCACUAGAGUAUAUCAUACAGGGCACCAUCACUUUAGAGAUUUCCGAAUUGAUAAGACCAAUUCUAAUGGCCACCACCAAUCCAACUAUGUAAUCAUUGAAGCUCAGCGAAGAAUGAUAGUCACAAAAUUAAUAAUGCACAAACAAAAGUUCACACAAGCGCCUACAUGCUUAUGUGUUGUUGUAAAAGGAGACUUUCAGCUUGGCACAGGUAUGUCUACAUGUAAAUGGCAGUAUUGUGAUAUUCAUUCUGUUUCUUAUUAUAUAAGCGAGCAGGGCUCCUCUAUGAUUUUUUUAUUUCAAAAAAUUUUACUUUACAAAUUUGCUAUUAUGGCAUCAAAAGCAAUUUUUUGCCUCAGCCAGAGAAGCUGCCAAAUGAGUCCUAGCUUGUUUCCAAAAAUCAACAAUACAUAUGAGAGAAUUCACAUUCGAAAAGGGAUUUACCUGAUUAUCUACACAAAUAAUCUACAAAACUCAUUAACUAUGGUAUAUAUCAAAAUUUUUGAACUUUAUAGUUGAUGGACCAUCAGUUUAUAUAUUAAAAGAGCUAAUGCUUCAUAUGCUGGCCAGAAAAUAUUUAUAUUUCACUCGAGAGAAAUAAAGCAAAAAAAUUAUUUUCGAGAAUGUGAAAACAAUGGGAAAGCAGAAGGAAUAAGAUUAAGGAUCGGGUAAGCAAAGAAAUAGUGGGUGGAUAUCUUUCUAUUUCACUUCAUUUACAUACUUACCUUUAAAGUUACUAUGGUACCGAAAUUAUCAAGCAAAUCUAGUUGGCUAUGGGCCAUAAUCAAUGACAGAGCUUGAAUAUAAGAAACAAUGAGGCAUUGCAUAAUUCAUUUGACUGAAUAAUAAUAUCGUAAAAAUGAACUAAACUAAUGUACUUGGCCAAUGAAUAAUUGGAAUCUAAAGUCUACUUGGCAAGGUGAACAUAUAGAAUGCAGAAGAUGUUUCUGCGCUUUAAACUGUUGAUAGCUUAAUUUAGCAAUACCAGCCUUUCCAAACCAACACAGGCACACAUAGAAAAAUCCCAAUCUCAGCAAUGGAUCUGUACAUUAUCUUGAAUAAAUGCAGCCAAUAAUUACAUGCUACAUUUGACAUCCAUUAAUAUUCAAAUCACGAUUUUCCAAUUGCAGUUCAAUUUAGGUAAGACCUCAUCACAACUGCUUGGGGCUAAAAGGGAGGUAAUUUCGUAAAGAUCUAAUUUUGAAGCCGUCGCAUUAUCACAAAGAUAUAAUCCUAUCUCAUCAACUCACAAUCUACAUGUCUAAUUAUGCGUGUGAUACAAAUGCCAAACUAAGUAAAAUUAACAAAAAAAUUGAAGAGCAAUACUACAUUUUGAACAGCCCAAAACUUUUUCAACUUACAUCUACGGCAGGUAAACCCAAUCUAAAAAUGAAAAGAUAACUACACAAAUCCUGAAGUUGAACGUACUAUCCUAAUAGGACCAAACAAAUUCCUAAUCAGACCCCAUUAACAUACUUAAGCUAAGUAAACCCAGAAACCCAAUCUAAAAAUGGGAUCAAAAAGUAUCAUCAAAAUGUAUUUUUUAUUUUCCCACGGUUGAACUCAAGCUAAAACCUUAUCUAGGAGGCACAAAACUCAGCAUAGAAUUAAGAGAAACUAGACGGAUCAUUUAAAAAAAAAAAAUAGAGAUGAUGAUUGGAGGAGCUUAAAAUUAUAGAUAGGGAGCAACAGCAUAAUACAUACCGAUGGAUUGGAAGGAUCAGUGGGUCUAUGCUCGGUGACUGGCCUUCCUUUGACCCUCACAACUUUAGCCAACUUAGACC